rnacentral:lncRNA from 1 species
AUGAAACAGCUUUUUAUUCGGCUGUGACUCACACACACUUGCUUUUAAAGAGAGAAUUUUUUUUUUCUACGAAAUGCGCCCAUACAUUUUCAGGAUGAUGGUUUAUACAGUACUGAAACAUAUGGGUAUAUCCUUUACCUGGCAUGGCCUUAUAGCUUUGCAAUAGAGGCAGAAAGUCUAAUCUAUUACAGAGUCUUUUCUACUACCAUGUCAAAAGCCAACUAAUUGCUCUCCACACCAUGUAGCUGGGUCCAGUCUUUCCUCUCUAACCAGCUCUUGUCUCUCUCUCUCUCUGUGUCCCAGACAGGGCAGCUACCCAGGCCCUGGCAUAAACCAGAUUGUGCCCCCCAUCAACCAGUCACAGGGCAACAACUCAGGCAUGGGCACGCCACAGGGUCCACCCUACAAUAUGCCACCCUCAGGGCCCAUCGGGAUGGCUGGGGAUGGGAUGGUGACUCCUGUUGGGAAGCAGAAAAUGGAUGGCAAGGAGGAGAGCAUGCCCACCAAUGAACCUCCCAGACCCAAGGAUGGCUACAGUGGAUCCCAGUGUGUCUCCCAGCCCACCACCCCUGGUGCCAUGCCUGUCCCCUCUCCCCUGUCCCCCAGCCCAGCCAGCCUGUCCUCCUACCAUGGGGAUGACAGUGACAGCAUCAGCAGCCCCGUCUGGCCAAAGACUCCCUCCAGCCCUGUAUGUGACACUCUUCCUUUACAUUCCAACCAAUAUCUUCCAGUGUUUUAUUUGUUGUUGUUUUUUUAUCUUCAGUAUGAUGACUGAUGUGAGUAGUUGUGCCAGUUUGCAAGGUUGGAGCUAAUUCCAUAUAUCUCUCCAUCUCUUCCGAACUCAGAAGCCCAACUCGUCCACCAUGACUAACGAGCAAAUCACACGUCUGUAUGAUAUGGGUGGGGAGCCGGAGAGGCGUGGCUGGGUGGACCGUUACCUGUCCUUUAUGGAGGAGAGGGGUACACCUGUUCCCCACCUCCCUGCAGUGGGCAAGAAGCCCCUGGACCUCUACAGACUGUACAUGGUGGUCAAGGAGAUAGGGGGCCUGGCCAUGGUGAGAGACAACCACUGAGUUCAUUUCAUUGUGUCUUACAGGACUGAUAGACACUGCGAAGUGUUUUUCUCGUGUAUUGCAGGACAGAAAUAAUGUUGCGCUAUACAC